rnacentral:rRNA from 1 species
AAAAUAAAAUUUGAUUUUAAAAAAAUUUAAUUUUUAAACUAGGAUUAGAUACCCUAUUAUUUUAAGCUUAAUGUUGGUAGUAAGUAAAAUUUAUGAAAUCAUAAAAUUUUGGCGGUAUUUUAAGCUUGUUAGAGGAAUUUGCUCUAUAAUGGAUACAACGCCUAUAUCUUACUUAAUUUUGUAAUUAAAGUCAGUUUGUAUACCACUAUAUUUAAUUAUAUUGAAUAAUUAUAUUUAAAAUUUUUAUAUAAAUAUAUAUUAAGUCAAGGUGCAACAAAUAAUUA